rnacentral:rRNA from 1 species
UACGAAGGGGGCUAGCGUUGCUCGGAAUCACUGGGCGUAAAGGGCGCGUAGGCGGCCUUCUAAGUCGAACGUGAAAUCCCCGGGCUCAACCCCGGGAACUGCGUCCGAUACUGGAAGGCUUGAAUCCGGGAGAGGGAUGUGGAAUUCCAGGUGUAGCGGUGAAAUGCGUAGAUAUCUGGAGGAACACCGGUGGCGAAGGCGACAUCCUGGACCGGUAUUGACGCUGAGGCGCGAAAGCCAGGGGAGCAAACGGG